rnacentral:rRNA from 1 species
GGACUACUAGGGUUUCUAAUCCUGUUUGCUACCCACGCUUUCGUGCCUCAGUGUCAGUCGUGGUCCAGUAAGCCGUCUACACCACCGGUGUUCCUCCUGAUAUCUACGCAUUUCACCGCUACACCAGGAAUUCCGCUUACCUCUCCCACACUCAAGCACCCCAGUUUCCACCGCACCCUCCCAGUUAAGCCGGGAGAUUUCACAACAGACUUAGGGCACCACCUACGCACUCUUUACGCCCAGUAACUCCGAACAACGCUUGCUGCCUACGUAUUACCGCGGCUGCUGGCAC